rnacentral:rRNA from 1 species
GGAGUUAGCCGGUGCUUCUUCUGUGAGUGAUGUCCUUCCUGCCGGCUAUUAACCCGCAGGCCUUCUUCCUCACUGAAAGUGCUUUACAACCCGAAGGCCUUCUUCACACACGCGGCAUGGCUGGAUCAGGGUUGCCCCCAUUGUCCAAUAUUCCCCACUGCUGCCUCCCGUAGGAGUCUGGGCCGUGUCUCAGUCCCAGUGUGGCUGAUCAUCCUCUCAGACCAGCUACGGAUCGUCGCCUUGGUGAGCCGUUACCUCACCAACCAGCUAAUCCGACAUAGGCUCAUCCGAUAGCGCGAGGCCCGAAGGUCCCCCGCUUUCCCCGUAGGGCGUAUGCGGUAUUAGCCUGGGUUUCCCCAGGUUAUCCCCCACUACCGGGCAGAUUCCUAUGCAUUACUCACCCGUCCGCCGCUCGCCACCAGGGAGCAAGCUCCCCGUGCUGCCGCUCGACUUGCAUGUGUUAGGCCUGCCGCCAGCGUUCAUCUGAGCCAUGAUCAACUCUGA